UCCCCUCUCCAGUGAGAAUGCCCUNUAAUAUCACCCCNNUGAUCAAGAGGAGCAGGUAUUUCCCCUCUCCAGUGAGAAUGCCCUNUAAUAUCACCCCNNUGAUCAAGAGGAGCAGGUAUUAAGCACACUNNNNAACCAGUAGCUCAAGAUGCCUUGCUUAACCACACCCCCAAGGGAUACAGCAGUGAUAAAAAUUUAGCAAUGAACGUAAGUUUGACUAAGCUAUGCUACUNNNNCUNAGGGUUGGUAAAUUUCGUGCCAGCCACCGCGGUCAUACGAUUAACCCAAACUAAUAAACACCCGGCGUAAAGCGUGAUUAGAACAUAANNAACAAAAANNNNNUAAAAUCAAAUAACAACUAAGCUGUAAAAAGUAAUAGUUGUAAACAAAAAUAAACGACGAAAGUGAUUUUAUAGCCUUCGAACUCACGAUAGCUAAGAUCCAAACUGGGAUUAGAUACCCCACUAUGCUUAGCCUUAAACCUAAAUAAUUUUAUNAACAAAAUUAUUCGCCAGAGAACUACAAGCCAGAGCUUAAAACUCAAAGGACUUGGCGGUGCUUUAUACCCGCCUAGAGGAGCCUGUUCUAUAAUCGAUAAACCCCGAUAAACCUUACCACUCUUUGCCAACNUCAGCCUAUAUACCGCCAUCUUCAGCAAACCCUAAAAAGGAGCAAAAGUAAGCUCAAUCAUCACNCAUAAAAACGUUAGGUCAAGGUGUAGCCUAUAGAGUGGAAAGCAAUGGGCUACAUUUNUCUACNNNNUUUAGAAUACNNACGAAAGCCCCUAUGAAACUCUAGAGACCAAAGGAGGAUUUA
rnacentral:rRNA from 1 species